UUCUUCCACUCACUUCUUCAAAUAUCUAACAAUUAAAAAAAUAACACAACAUGGCAGACAUAUACGGUCAGUUUAUUACCUCCUCCUUUUUGGAAGUUGGUGAAAAAUGCGUUGACUUGAUAACUUCCUUUAGGUAUUUUGUCAGCGAAAAAUCGAACUAAAAAUACUUACAUGCUAUUUUCGUACGAAUCGUCAUAAUACAAUAUAUUUUAGAGAAAACCCAUUCUAAAUUCAAACCGCAUUAUUUAAUUGUGAGUGGCCUAGUUCAAUAAAUACAGCAGCACCGCGCUGUAAAUUUUAGAAUUCUCACCAGCGAUUUCCAUCUGUAAUUUGGACUACUGCAUCAAUCUUUUUGAUCUAUGUCUGCGUGGGCUUGCAGUAUGAAUUUGUAAUCCGCUAUAUUUUAUUACACUAAGA